rfam:Firmicutes bacterium CAG:95 genomic scaffold, scf133
UGAUAGCGUUGAAGCGUGAGGUUGCUGCCGGGCCGAAAGGCACUGCAGGUUUUCCGUGGAGCGAAUGUCAAGAGGCCAUGCAAAUGGCCAAAGAACCUGACGGCAA